UACGAAGGGGGCUAGCGUUGCUCGGAAUCACUGGGCGUAAAGGGUGCGUAGGCGGGUUCUUAAGUCAGAGGUGAAAUCCUGGAGCUCAACUCCAGAACUGCCUUUGAUACCGAGGGUCUUGAGUAUGACAGAGGUGAGUGGAACUGCGAGUGUAGAGGUGAAAUUCGUAGAUAUUCGCAAGAACACCAGUGGCGAAGGCGGCUCACUGGGUCAUUACUGACGCUGAGGCACGAAAGCGUGGGGAGCAAACAGG
rnacentral:rRNA from 1 species